rnacentral:rRNA from 1 species
CCUACGGGAGGCAGCAGUGGGGAAUAUUGCACAAUGGGGGAAACCCUGAUGCAGCGACACCGCGUGAGUGAAGAAGUAAUUCGUUAUGUAAAGCUCUAUCAGCAGGGAAGAAAAUUACGGUACCUGAGUAAGAAGCCCCGGCUAACUACGUGCCAGACGACGCGGUAAUACGUAGGGGGCAAGCGUGCUCCGGAUUUACUGGGUGUAAAGGGAGCGUAGGCGGCAGUGGAAGUGUGGAGUGAAAGGCGGGGGCUCAACCCCAGCACUGCUGUGGAAACUGGACGGCUGGAGUGUAGGAGAGGUAAGGGGAAUUCCUGGUGUAGCGGUGAAAUGCGUAGAUAUUAGGAGGAACACCAGUUGCGAAGGCGGCUUACUGGACUGUAACGGACGUUGAGGCUCGAAGGCGUGGGGAGCAAACAGGAUUAGAUACCCCUGUAGUC